rnacentral:misc_RNA from 1 species
UACAGAGGGCCCGAGCGUUACGCGGUAUCAUUGGGCUUAAAGCGUGCGUAGGCGGAUCGGCAAGUGCUUUGUGAAAUCCCACGGCUCAACCGUGGAACCGCUUGGCAGACUGCCGAUCUUGAGCCCGGUAGAGGCAUCCGGAACUGUAGGUGUAGCGGUGAAAUGCGUAGAUAUCUACAGGAACGCCGAAGGUGAAGACAGGAUGCUGGGCCGGUGCUGACGCUGAGGCACGAAAGCGUGGGUAGCGAACGGG